UAGGAAGGCAGCAGUGGGGAAUAUUGCACAAUGGGCGCAAGCCUGAUGCAGCCAUGCCGCGUGUAUGAAAAAGGCCUUCGGGUUGUAAAGUACUUUCAGUCGUGAGGAAGGUGUUAAGGUUAAUAACCUUAGCAAUUGACGUUAGCGACAGAAGAAGCACCGGCUAACUCCGUGCCAGCAGCCGCGGUAAUACGGAGGGUGCGAGCGUUAAUCGGAAUUACUGGGCGUAAAGGGCACGCAGGCGGUUAAUUAAGUUGGAUGUGAAAUCCCCGGGCUUAACCUGGGAAUGGCAUUCAAGACUGGUUAGCUAGAGUCUUGUAGAGGGGGUAGAAUUCCAUGUGUAGCGGUGAAAUGCGUAGAGAUGUGGAGGAAUACCGGUGGCGAAGGCGGCCCCUGGACAAAGACUGACGCUCAUGUGCGAAAGCGUGGGGAGCAAACAGGGAUUUAGAUACC
rnacentral:rRNA from 1 species